rnacentral:rRNA from 1 species
CGCAUGGCAGGGAUUGGAAAGAUUUAUCGGUUAUGGAUGGUCUCGCGGCCUAUCAGCUUGAUGGUGGGGUAAUGGCCUACCAUGGCAAUGACGGGUAACCGGCCUGAGAGGGUGACCGGUCACACUGGAACUGAGACACGGUCCAGACUCCUACGGGAGGCAGCAGUGGGGAAUAUUGCACAAUGGGCGCAAGCCUGAUGCAGCGACGCCGCGUGAAGGAUGACGGCCUUCGGGUUGUAAACUUCUUUUAACGGGGAAGAAGCGUAAGUGACGGUACCUGUUGAAUAAGCACCGGCUAACUACGUGCCAGCAGCCGCGGUAAUACGUAGGGUGCAAGCGUUGUCCGGAAUUAUUGGGCGUAAAGAGCUCGUAGGCGGUUUGUCGCGUCUGCUGUGAAAGACCGGGGCUUAACCCCGGUUCUGCAGUGGGUACGGGCAGGCUAGAGUGUGGUAGGGGAGAAUGGAAUUCCUGGUGUAGCGGUGGAAUGCGCAGAUAUCAGGAAGAACACCGAUGGCGAAGGCAGUUCUCUGGGCCACUACUGACGCUGAGGAGCGAAAGCGUGGGGAGCGAACAGGAUUAGAUACCCUGGUAGUCCACGCCGUAAACGGUGGGCACUAGAUGUGGGAAUUUUUCUACGGUUUCCGUGUCGCAGCUAACGCAUUAAGUGCCCCGCCUGGGGAGUACGGUCGCAAGGCUAAAACUCAAAGGAAUUGACGGGGGCCCGCACAAGCGGCGGAGCAUGCGGAUUAAUUCGAUGCAACGCGAAGAACCUUACCAAGGCUUGACAUAUGCCAGACAGG